rnacentral:rRNA from 1 species
UACGAAGGUCCCAAGCGUUAUCCGGAUUUAUUGGGUUUAAAGGGUGCGUAGGCGGGCUAUUAAGUCAGUGGUGAAAGCUCUCGACCUAACCGAGAAAUUGCCAUUGAUACUGAUGGUCUUGAGUACAUUUGAGGAGGGCGGAAUGUGUCAUGUAGCGGUGAAAUGCUUAGAUAUGACACAGAACACCGAUUGCGUAGGCAGCUCUCUAAACUAACUGACGCUGAGGCAC